AUUGAACGCUGGCGGCAGGCCUAACACAUGCCAGUCGAGCGGAUGAAGGGAGCUUGCUCCUGGAUUCAGCGGCGGACGGGUGAGUAAUGCCUAGGAAUCUGCCUGGUAGUGGGGGAUAACGUCCGGAAACGGGCGCUAAUACCGCAUACGUCCUGAGGGAGAAAGUGGGGGAUCUUCGGACCUCACGCUAUCAAAUGAGCCUAGGUCGGAUUAGCUAGUUGGUGGGGUAAAGGCCUACCAAGGCGACGAUCCGUAACUGGUCUGAGAGGAUGAUCAGUCACACUGGAACUGAGACACGGUCCAGACUCCUACGGGAGGCAGCAGUGGGGAAUAUUGGACAAUGGGCGAAAGCCUGAUCCAGCCAUGCCGCGUGUGUGAAGAAGGUCUUCGGAUUGUAAAGCACUUUAAGUUGGGAGGAAGGGCAGUAAGUUAAUACCUUGCUGUUUUGACGUUACCAACAGAAUAAGCACCGGCUAACUUCGUG
rnacentral:rRNA from 1 species